rnacentral:rRNA from 1 species
UCCGAAUGGGGAAACCCACUGCUUCGGCAGUAUCCUGCAGUGAAUUCAUAGCUGCUGGAAGCGAACCCGGUGAACUGAAAUAUCUAAGUAACCGGAGGAAAAGAAAUCAACCGAGAUUCCCUAAGUAGUGACGAGCGAACGGGGAACAGCCCUUAAGCUGGAAUGGCUUUAGAAAAACAAUCUGGAAAGAUUGGCCAUAGAAGGUGAUAGCCCUGUAUUUAAAAGGGCCACUCCAGUGAAGACGAGUAGGGCGGGGCACGUGAAACCCUGUCUGAAUAUGGGGGGACCAUCCUCCAAGGCUAAAUACUCCUGACCGACCGAUAGUGAACCAGUACCGUGAGGGAAAGGCGAAAAGAACCCCGGAGAGGGGAGUGAAAUAGAUCCUGAAACCGUGUGCGUACAAGCAGUAGGAGCUCGCAAGAGUGACUGCGUACCUUUUGUAUAAUGGGUCAGCGACUUACUGUUCGUGGCAAGCUUAACCGUAUAGGGGAGGCGAAGGGAAACCGAGUCUGAUAAGGGCGCAUAGUCGCGGGCAGUAGACCCGAAACCGGGUGAUCUAGUCAUGGCCAGGGUGAAGGUGCCGUAACAGGUACUGGAGGCCCGAACCCACGUCUGUUGCAAAAGACGGGGAUGAGCUGUGAUUAGGAGUGAAAAGCUAAUCGAACCCGGAGAUAGCUGGUUCUCCUCGAAAGCUAUUUAGGUAGCGCCUCGGACGAAUACUACUGGGGGUAGAGCACUGUUAUGGCUAGGGGGUCAUCGCGACUUACCAAACCAUUGCAAACUCCGAAUACCAGUACGUACUAUCCGGGAGACACACGGCGGGUGCUAACGUCCGUCGUGAAAAGGGAAACAACCCAGACCCACAGCUAAGGUCCCAAAUUCACUGCUAAGUGGAAAACGAUGUGGAAAGGCAUAGACAGCCAGGAGGUUGGCUUAGAAGCAGCCACCCUUUAAAGAAAGCGUAAUAGCUCACUGGUCGAGUCGGUCUGCGCGGAAGAUUUAACGGGGCUAAGCAGUGAACCGAAGCUUGGGGUGCAUAAAACUUGUUUUAUGCGCGGUAGAGGAGCGUUCCGUAAGCCUGCGAAGGUGGAUUGAGAAGUCUGCUGGAGGUAUCGGAAGUGCGAAUGCUGACAUGAGUAACGAUAAUGCGGGUGAAAAGCCCGCACGCCGAAAGCCCAAGGUUUCCUUGCGCAACGUUAAUCGACGCAGGGUUAGUCGGUCCCUAAGGCGAGGGCGAAAGCCGUAGUCGAUGGGAAGCAGGUUAAUAUUCCUGCACCUCGCGUGAGUGCGAUGGAGGGACGGAGAAGGUUAGGUGUACCGGGCGUUGGUUGUCCCGGGGAAAGGCGGUAGGUUUGGAUCUUUGGCAAAUCCGGGAUCCUUUAAGACCGAGCACCGAGACGAGCCUUUAUGGCGAAGUCACUGAUACCACGCUUCCAGGAAAAGCUCCUAAGCUUCAGCUCACGAAGACCGUACCGUAAACCGACACAGGUGGGUAGGAUGAGAAUUCUCAGGCGCUUGAGAGAACUCGGGUGAAGGAACUAGGCAACAUGGCACCGUAACUUCGGGAGAAGGUGCACCCUUUUUGGUGGCUCGUGCGAGCUAUAGCUGAAGAGGGUCGCAGAAACCAGGCCGCUGCGACUGUUUAUCAAAAACACAGCACUCUGCAAACACGAAAGUGGACGUAUAGGGUGUGACGCCUGCCCGGUGCUGGAAGGUUAAUUGAUGGGGUCAGCCGCAAGGCGAAGCUCUUGAUCGAAGCCCCAGUAAACGGCGGCCGUAACUAUAACGGUCCUAAGGUAGCGAAAUUCCUUGUCGGGUAAGUUCCGACCUGCACGAAUGGCGUAACGACAGCGGCGCUGUCUCCACCCGAGACUCAGUGAAAUUGAAAUCGCUGUGAAGAUGCAGCGUUCCCGUGGCAAGACGGAAAGACCCCGUGAACCUUUACUAUAGCUUUACACUGAACGUUGAGUUCGUCUGUGUAGGAUAGGUGGGAGGCUAUGAAACUGUGGCGCUAGCUGCAGUGGAGCCAUCCUUGAAAUACCACCCUGUCGUGCUUGACGUUCUAACCUAGAUCCGUUAUCCGGAUCAGGGACCGUGUAUGGUGGGUAGUUUGACUGGGGCGGUCUCCUCCUAAAGAGUAACGGAGGAGCACGAAGGUACGCUCAGCGCGGUCGGACAUCGCGCACUGUGUGCAAAGGCAUAAGCGUGCUUGACUGCAAGAUCGACGGAUCAAGCAGGUACGAAAGUAGGUCUUAGUGAUCCGGUGGUUCUGUAUGGAAGGGCCAUCGCUCAACGGAUAAAAGGUACUCCGGGGAUAACAGGCUGAUACCGCCCAAGAGUUCAUAUCGACGGCGGUGUUUGGCACCUCGAUGUCGGCUCAUCACAUCCUGGGGCUGUAGUCGGUCCCAAGGGUAUGGCUGUUCGCCAUUUAAAGUGGUACGCGAGCUGGGUUCAGAACGUCGUGAGACAGUUCGGUCCCUAUCUGCCAUGGGCGUUGGAAGUUUGAGAGGGGCUGCUCCUAGUACGAGAGGACCGGAGUGGACGAACCUCUGGUGUUCCGGUUGUCACGCCAGUGGCAUUGCCGGGUAGCUAUGUUCGGAAGCGAUAACCGCUGAAAGCAUCUAAGCGGGAAGCGCGCCUCAAGAUGAGACUUCCCGGGGCACAAGCCCCCUAAAGGAACCAUGUAGACUACGUGGUUGAUAGGUCAGGUGUGU